rnacentral:lncRNA from 1 species
CUCGCGGAGCCGCGCCUGGCUCGGCCGCGGCCCCGAGCGCCGUGUCCGCGGCCGCUGCCGCCGUUCCCCGCGUAAAGACUCGCCGCUGCCGGAAACGCGAGUUCCGCCGCCUUCAGAGUUCGCUGCGGAACUGCCGAGCAAAGUUUACAGGGCUGAAACGUAGUGCGUGCGUAACUUUUAUGUUACUGUAAGAAACAAGGCAAGUGUUGCGAGCCAAUGCUGAAAAAUAAGUUGCUCAAUGCUGCCAUCUCCAGGACAGCUCAAGAUGAUCCUUGCUCAUCCCUCCUGUUCCACAAGAGGGACUUCCUUAUCUUGAUGCAUUUGGCAAGUGAUAUACUGACAUGCACAACACCUGUGUAGAACGAUCUUGUGAUGAAAGGUAAUUUGAUUUGCCGCGUGUUGCACAAGAGUGAUUACAAACAGGGGUAUCAGGGUAAAAGCAGGAGAUAGUCUUG